AGAACGAACGCUGGCGGCAGGCCUAACACAUGCAAGUCGAACGCCGUAGCAAUACGGAGUGGCAGACGGGUGAGUAACGCGUGGGAACAUACCCCCCGGUUCGGAAUAACUCAGGGAAACUUGAGCUAAUACCGGAUACGUCCGAGGUUUUAAUCGGCUUCGGAGAAAGAUUUAUCGCCGGAGGAUUGGCCCGCGUCUGAUUAGCUUGUUGGUGAGGUAAUGGCUCACCAAGGCGACGAUCAGUAGCUGGUCUGAGAGGAUGAUCAGCCACAUUGGGACUGAGACACGGCCCAAACUCCUACGGGAGGCAGCAGUGGGGAAUAUUGGACAAUGGGCGAAAGCCUGAUCCAGCCAUGCCGCGUGAGUGAUGAAGGCCUUAGGGUUGUAAAGCUCUUUUGCCCGGAAGAUAAUGACGGUACCGGAGAAUAAGCCCGGCUAACUUCGUGCCAGCAGCCGC
rnacentral:rRNA from 1 species